rnacentral:rRNA from 1 species
AUUGAACGCUGGCGGUAUGCUUAACACAUGCAAGUCGAACGGCAGCACGGUCUAGCUUGCUAGACUGAUGGCGAGUGGCGGACGGGUGAGUAACGCGUAGGAAUAUGCCUUGAAGAGUGGGACAACUUGGGGUAACUCAAGCUAAUACCGCAUGUACUCGAGAGAGUAAAGCUGGGGACCUUUAGGCCUGGCGCUUUAAGAUUAGCCUGCGUCCGAUUAGCUAGUUGGUAGGGUAAAGGCCUACCAAGGCGACGAUCGGUAGCUGGUCUGAGAGGAUGAUCAGCCACACUGGAACUGAGAGACGGUCCAGACUCCUACGGGAGGCAGCAGUGGGGAAUAUUGGACAAUGGGGGGAACCCUGAUCCAGCAAUGCCGCGUGUGUGAAGAAGGCCUGAGGGUUGUAAAGCACUUUCAGUGGGGAGGAGGUUUGGAAGGUCAAGAGCUAUUCAAAUGGACGUUACCCACAGAAGAAGCACCGGCUAACUCCGUGCCAGCCGCCGCAGUAA